GGGCACGUAGCUCAGCGGUUAGAGUGUCCGCCUCACACGCGGAAGGUCGAAGGUUCAAAUCCUUCCGUGCCCA
rnacentral:tRNA from 1 species